UACGUAGGGGGCUAGCGUUGUCCGGAAUCAUUGGGCGUAAAGCGCGCGUAGGCGGCCCGGUAAGUCCGCUGUAAAAGUCCAGGGCUCAACCCUGGAAAGCCGGUGGAUACUGUCGGGCUGGAGUCCGGUAGGGGCAGAGGGAAUUUCCGAUGGAGCGGUGAAAUGCGUAGAGAUCGGAAAGAACACCAACGGCGAAAGCACUCUGCUGGGCCGACACUGACACUGGAGAGACGAAAGCUAGGGGAGCGAAUGGG
rnacentral:rRNA from 1 species